rnacentral:misc_RNA from 1 species
CUUAGCAGGAAGCGCGUGAGAGAUAGCUGGAGGAACAUGAGGCUUUGAUGUAACUAGCUUUACAUCAAGGUGGACUAAUUAUCUAUCCUCUUCCUCCUGCUUUAAUAUUAACUGCAUCAAAAGAAAACUUACAUUCUUUCAAUCACUUUACUUGAAAAAAUACCUUUUCAAAAGCAGCGUCCAGCUUCGAUUAAUGCAACGUACGAAAAUCUUCUUAUUUUUCACGAAGUAGUCUGUUAAAUUAAACAAAGGGAAUUUCU